UUGAGGUUAUCGGGAGAUCUCUUAUGAGAGCCGAAGAAGAAAUACUAUAUGCUCAUCCAGCCUAUAUGUAGAAGCUUUCAGGCAACAGGACCGGUAACUGAUG
rnacentral:ncRNA from 2 species